rnacentral:rRNA from 1 species
UACAGAGGUCUCGAGCGUUGUUCGGAUUCAUUGGGCGUAAAGGGUGCGUAGGUGGCACCGUAAGUCGGGUGUGAAAUCCUGAGGCUUAACCUCGGAACUGCAUUCGAUACUGCGGUGCUUGAGGACUGGAGAGGAGACUGGAAUUCAUGGUGUAGCAGUGAAAUGCGUAGAGAUCAUGAGGAAGACCAGUGGCGAAGGCGGGUCUCUGGACAGUUACUGACACUGAGGCACGAAGGCCAGGGGAGCAAACGGG